GACGAACGCUGGCGGCGUGCCUAAUACAUGCAAGUAGAACGCUGAAGAGAGGAGCUUGCUCUUCUUGGAUGAGUUGCGAACGGGUGAGUAACGCGUAGGUAACCUGCCUGGUAGCGGGGGAUAACUAUUGGAAACGAUAGCUAAUACCGCAUAAAAUUGAUUAUUGCAUGAUAAUUAAUUGAAAGAUGCAAUUGCAUCACUACCAGAUGGACCUGCGUUGUAUUAGCUAGUUGGUGAGGUAACGGCUCACCAAGGCGACGAUACAUAGCCGACCUGAGAGGGUGAUCGGCCACACUGGGACUGAGACACGGCCCAGACUCCUACGGGAGGCAGCAGUAGGGAAUCUUCGGCAAUGGGGGGAACCCUGACCGAGCAACGCCGCGUGAGUGAAGAAGGUUUUCGGAUCGUAAAGCUCUGUUGUAAGAGAAGAACGGGUGUGAGAGUGGA
rnacentral:rRNA from 1 species